rnacentral:rRNA from 1 species
CCCUUAGGUGUUCUGGGCCGCACGCGCGCUACACUGACGAAUGCAACGAGCUUAUAACCUUGGCCGAAAGGUCUGGGUAAUCUCCAAAUUUCGUCGUGAUGGGGAUAGAUUAUUGCAAUUAUUAAUCUUCAACGAGGAAUGCCUAGUAAGCGCAAGUCAUCAGCUUGCGUUGAUUACGUCCCUGCCCUUUGUACACACCGCCCGUCGCUCCUACCGAUUGAAUGGUCCGGUGAAGCGUUCGGACCGCUUCCUUUGGACGGGCAACCGUCUGUUGGUCGUGGGAAGUUCGUUAAACCUUAUCAUUUAGAGGAAGGAGAAGUCGUAACA